rnacentral:rRNA from 1 species
CCUANGGGGGGCAGCAGUGAGGAAUAUUGCGCAAUGGACGAAAGUCUGACGCAGCGACGCCGCGUGGAGGAUGACGGUCUUCGGAUUGUAAACUCCUGUUAAGUGGGAAGAAAUAUCAGGCUCUAAUAUAGCCUGAGGAUGACGGUACCGCUAGAGAAAGCACCGGCUAACUUCGUGCCAGCAGCCGCGGUAAUACGAGGGGUGCAAACGUUAUUCGGAUUUAUUGGGUGUAAAGGGUGUGUAGACGGUAUAUUAAGUUUGUUGUUAAAUCCAUCGGCCUAACUGAUGGCUUGCAGUGAAAACUGAUAAACUAGAGAGUGGAAGAGAGAAGCGGAAUUCUCGGAGUAGCGGUAAAAUGCGUAGAUCUCGAGAGGAACACCGAUGGCGAAGGCAGCUUCUUGGUCCAUUUCUGACGUUGAUACACGAAAGCGUGGGGAGCAAACAGGAUUAGAUACCCGANUANUC